ACGCGCUUGUUGCAGAUGGACUGUAUGCCUCUCGGGGAAAGGGAAGUAAAUGAGUUUCCUGUGUUGACAUCGGGGUGGUCUUCUCCUUAGCUUGUGAGGAGUCAGUUUCUCACAGCACAGAGGGAGAGAAAGGAAGUCCCAAAAGCCCCCCUACUUCCCUACACAAGGGUGCAAAGCAACAGCUUAGGAGCAAUUGCAACGGAGAGAGGCCACAGGUCGGGGAUGAAUCUGCAGCAUCUUUGGGCUCACAGAGAAUGGGAACAGCCUCUGGGCUUUUUUGCUAAGGAAGAUUCCUGCUCCUUCCUGGAAACCCAGCCUGGGUGCCAACCAGUCUGCACAAAGUGGAUGGGUUGGUACAUGUAGCAGCAGUGUCUGCAGCGCAGAGGCCUAGGACUGUCUUCCGUUAUCAGAAGGGUUGGGCAAAAACAGCCACUGCAAUGAACUGGAUGCCGCCUAGACAUGAGGAAAUGCCUCUGUGAACUGCUCCAGGGAUCUGCCCUACUUUGAAGCCAGACAGAAAAGUGGAUAGAAACUGCCAUCCCGACAAAUCUGCUUAUCGGCUCAACAUGGAAUGACUAUUUUGUUACUCUCAUACUUCCAAGUUAAUCUAGAGACAUAGCUGCUACAAAAUUUAAGAGUAUGUCCUUUUUAUCUUUCUCGUUGUAAGUCAGUGUCCUUUCUUUGUGUCUCCACUAUUUUACGUUAGUCACAAGUUGGCCCUGUGUUAUUCUUACUCUUUCAAAACAACAGCUGAGUCUUUAUUCAAAUUCAACAGAAGAUGAAUCCCAGAGAUAUAUGAGUUUCAUAGAUGAAUUGGAAAGAGACAUGUGUUUGGUCUGCAUUUCUAUGAAAUGAGAAUGAAUAUAUUAAUUCUUCAAAUAAAAGUAAAAAAUGGCUUUGAGUUAACAGAAAGAUGGAUAUUCAUUUUAUAAAAUUUAAUUUCCAAUUACCAUGCUGCGUAUGCAUGGGUAAAUAGGCAAAGAGAUAAGAUUUGCAGUGACAGACUGUAGAAAGAAGAAUCAUCCUACUAAUUCAGACGACAUCUGGGCUAUUCAGACAACAACAGUCAACAUUUAGAAAAUGAGUAUUAAAUUCUUACUGAUUUGUCCAGCUCUAUCAGAGUGUUCAUUUUACUGAAGACAUUUUGGACUUUAAUUUUAAAAUACAGAGCAAGCCUCUCAAGAGUGAAAUCCUUUUUGUAACUGACCAAGUCUAUCUGUCCAGAUUGCAUUUUUAAAAGUAAUACAUAGAAAAAGGAGCAACUGAUAUUUGAACAGCUAGCAAGUUCAUCAAAAUAUUGUUAAAUGUGUAUAACUUUAUUAAAAGCAUCUUCUCCAGCAGUGAAGUUGGAGCCUUGUGACCUGUGCCCGACAGACUGUACUGUGAGCAGAAGCAGUGUGUUUUCCUGAGCUAAGGCAGUUCCCACGAGUGAACCUCCCUGAGCUGUAGAGACCUCGAACAAUGUGUGUUUCAGUUGGCCUACCUGACAAUGGAGAGGGCUAACACACAUCGGACAGGAUGAGUGUGGAAAAUAAUUCAUUCUCACGUUAAUCACUGGAUUUCCGAGUUUGCACUUGCAACCCCUAAUGUUCAAUGCCUUUACUAAUGUAGAUAUUGGAAAUUGAAGUUAGAUGCUACUGUAUCAAAAACAUAAAAUAUAUGCUAUUGGGUCAGUUUCAGAUGUGAAUGGCGAGGUGACUGGUAUUAGAGGAAGAAAAUGUAGUGGUUGGGUCAGGCUAACCCAAAGCAUAAAAGGACAUUGCCACCUGUGAUCAGAAGGGAGGUUAGCCACAUGCUUAUUGUUUUGCAAUUUAGAAAAAGAGCUUGGAAAGAAGUGUGUUUUCUGAAUUGGCUACUAUUGGUGGUAGUUGGCAAGAUGCUGUAGAGGUGAAUUGAGCGGGGAAAAAGUUACCAGCUAGCAAUUAGAAAUCAAAAGGGGCCAGGCGCGGUGGCUCACGCCUGUAAUCCCAGCACUUUGGGAGGCUGAGGUGGGCGGAUCACAAGGUCAGGAGAUCGAGACCAUCCUGGCUAACACGGUGAAACCCUGUCUCUACUAAAAAUACAAAAAAAAAAAAAAAAAAAAAAAUUAGCCAGGCGUGGUGGCGGGUGCCUGUAGUCCCAGCUACUCAGGAGGCUGAGGCAGGAGAAUGGCGUGAACCCAGGAGGCGGAGCUUGCAGUGAGCCGAGAUCGCGCCACUGCACUCCAGCCUGGGCAACAGAGCAAGACUCUGUCUCGAAAAACAAAACAAACAAACGACAAACAAAAACAAAAACAAACAAAAAAAGAAAUUAAAAGGAAUAGGUGAUAUUCAGAAAUUCAGAGAGUAGCCAGGCACAGUGCUCAUGCCUGUAAUACCAGCACUUUAGGAGGCUGCAGCAGAAGGAUCACUUGAGCCUGGGAGGUCCAGGCUACAUUAAGCCAUGAUUGCACCACUGCACUCCAGCCUGGGUAACAGAGCAAGACCCUGUCUAAAAAAAAAAAUAAACAGAAGUAGAAAUUCAGGGACUGGAUAGUUUGGAAAAUCAAGCAAGGCAAACAAAAUACAGGCAUGCCUAAAUAAGUGAAAUAAGCCAGGCACAGAAAGACAAACAUUGCGUCUUCUCACUUAUUUGUGGGAUCUAAAAAUCAAAACAACUGAACAUAUGUCUCAGGGACAUAGAGAAUAGAAGAAUGAUUACCAGAAGCUGGGAAGGGUAGUGAGGGGCUGGGUGAGAGGUGGGGAUGUUAACAGGUAGAAAAAAUAAUAAUUAGAAAGAAUGAAUAAGACCUACCAUUUGAUAGCACAAUAGGGUGACUAUAGUUAAUAAUUUUACAUUUUAAAAUAACUUUAAAAAUGUGAUUGGAUCAUUUGUAACUCAAAGGAUAAAUGCUUGAGGGGAUGGCUACCCCAUUCCCCAUGAUGUGCUUAUUUCGUAUUGCAUGCCUUUAUCAAAAUGUCUCAUGUACCCCAUAAAUAUAUAUACCUACUGUGUACCCACAACUAUUUAAAAAAUAAAAAAUAAAAACAUUUAAAAUAAAAAAAAAAAGACAUUGCAGUCUGGUUGCAGUUCCAGAUACCCACAAAAAAAGCAAAUAGUGCAAUAAAAAAAAUCACAUGAAUUUUUAGUUUUUUCAGUGCAUAUAAAAGUUACUAUAGUCUACUAAGUGUGCAACAGCGUUAUGUCUAAAAUAAUAAUGUACGUAUCUUAAUUUAAAAAUACUUUACUGCUAAAAAUGCUAACAAUCAUCUGAUCCUUCAGCGAGACAUAAUCUGUUUGCUGGUGAAAGGUCUUAUUUCAAUGUUGAUGGCUGCUGACGUCAGCGUGGUGGUUACUAAAGUUGGGGUGACUGUGGCAAUGUCUUAAAAUAAGACAACACUGAAGUUUGCUGCAUCAAUUCACUCUUCCUUUAAUAAAAUAUUUCUUUGUAGCAUGCAAUGCUGUUUGAUAGAAUUUUGCUUACAGGAGAACUUCUUUCAAAAUUGGAGUCAAUCCUUUCAGAUCCUGCCAUUGCUUUAUCAAGCUUCAGGAGCAAAAGGAGCAACAUCUGGAUACAAUGGAGAAGAUAUGAGGAUCACCCACAGAUCUCGGACUUGAGCUAAUUGCAGUAACUGGAUGUAACUUUGGGUUAUCUGCUUUGGGAAGGGAUAUGUGUGUGC
rnacentral:lncRNA from 1 species